AAAAAAAAAAUAAAAAAAUAUAAAUCAAUGCUUAAAGCAGAAAGAUUAAAUGGGAGUUCUUCAAAAACUCAUGAUAACCAAUCAGAGGAAGAGGUGGAACCUCUAUAAAUAAAUAAAAAAGCUCAUCGACGAAAGCAAAUAGAGGCAUAUGAAGAGCUGAAGAAUCUAAUCAAAAGAAAAAAUGAUACCUUUGAGCUAAUC